rnacentral:rRNA from 1 species
CACGACUCUCGGCAACGGAUAUCUCGGCUCUCGCAUCGAUGAAGAACGUAGCGAAAUGCGAUACUUGGUGUGAAUUGCAGAAUCCCGUGAACCAUCGAGUCUUUGAACGCAAGUUGCGCCCGAAGCCGUCAGGCCGAGGGCACGUCUGCCUGGGCGUCACGC